GUGGCGUUUUGCCUUAUUCCCCCUGAAAAGAUCCUGUGCAGUACUUUAAGUACAACAGUUCUCCCUGGAGGCGGCCCAGGAGCGGAUCCGCGACGCUCUCUGCUGCUCAAGGCCUAUGCGGCCCGCAUGGCCAAGGAGCGCCAGCAGCUGCAGGCCAGCGUAACACAGCUGGGGGGGCGGCUGGAGCAGCUGCAGGACAUCAGCAGAAAGGCCAAGGUGGAGCUGACGGUGGGAGGGAAGGUGCCUGACCUCGGACUUGCUGGCGUUGAGUGGGGAGGGGAAAGUGGGUAGAUUCCCGGGUGGGCGGAGAGGAAUUUGGGAAUCCUUCUGCCCUGUGCUAGUUGGGGAUGGUGAUCUGGGGAUCCCAGUCCUGGGAUCUGGAGGGGAUCUGGAGAUCCCAAGGCAGGAUCUAGUGACACAGGGUACCCGGUGAUCUGAGCCCUGUGAAUGCCAGCAUGGGGCUCUGGUGAUCUCACCGUGGGAUCUGGUGAUGGGGUUUGGUUGGGGAGGAGGAGCGAAUCGGACUGAGCCUGGUGCCGGGACCCGGGGGGAGUCUGUCGGGCCAUUGGCAAUCAGGUCUUGGGAUCCUGAGGGAUCUCACUGAGCCUGGUGCCUGGAUCCCAAUAAAGGGGGAGGAUCCAGUAGAUCCUGGUGAUUCCACCAGUGAUUCCUGGUGAUCUGCAGCUUUCUUGAGGGCCGUCGUCUCCUCCCCACCCCGGGAACCCGUCCAAGUGUCUGUCCGUCUCUCCGCAGCGGGACGUGCGGACGGCCUGCCAGCUGCGCUUCCACUUCCUGAAGUCGCUCUUCGAGCACAGCACGUCUGGGGCCCUCCCGACAUCGUGGGUUCCCACCCUCCCAACCACGUCCUGACAGCCCUGGAGCACCUGGCCCUGGAGAACACCCUGCAGAUGCAAGAGCUCACCAGCCGCAUUGACAUUCCCCGCGACGUAGAGGCGCUCAAGUGGGUACCACUAAGGGGGUGGCAGUGUGGGUGCAUGGUGCUGUACGGAGCCGUCGCCCCCCAGUGGUGGUGGCUUGUACUGGGGGGCGGGUAGGGUGGCAGAGUCAGCUUGGGAGAGGGGCUGCUGUGGGGCUUUGCCCCCCUGGUGGUGGCAGUUUGUACUGCAGGGGGCAGAGUCAGGGCUCUGGGGGGCUGUCACCCCAGCAGUGCUGCAGUGACCCAUGGCACCAGUGCGGGGGCCUGGACCUCUGCCCUCUGGCCUGCAGGUUCCGCUACGAGAGCGCCCGCCUGGAGACCUGGCGGGGCCGCCAGUGUUGUACUUAAAGUAUUGCACAGGAUCUUUUCAGAGAUCCUGAGGGCCAAGGGAGGGGGGACACGGGUCAGGGCGCC
rnacentral:lncRNA from 1 species